CCUACGGGAGGCAGCAGUGAGGAAUAUUGGGCAAUGGACGCAAGUCUGACCCAGCAACGCCGCGUGGAGGAUGAAGGUCUUUGGAUUGUAAACUCCUUUUGCCGGGGAAGAGAGAGGACGGUACCCGGAGAAUAAGUCACGGCUAACUACGUGCCAGCAGCCGCGGUAAUACGUAGGUGACAAGCGUUAUCCGGAUUUAUUGGGCGUAAAGCGCACGCAGGCGGCAGAGAAAGUCUGACGUGAAAUCUCCCGGCUUAACUGGGAGCGGUCGUUGGAAACUACUUGGCUUGAGGCGAUGAGAGGGGUGUGGAAUUCCCGGUGUAGUGGUGGAAUGCGUAGAUAUCGGGGGGAACAUCAGCGGCGAAAGCGGCACCCUGGCAUUAGCCUGACGCUCAUGUGCGAAAGCGUGGGGAGCGAACGGGAUUAGAUACCCCGGUAGUCCACGCUGUAAACGAUGAAUACUAGGUGUGGGUGGUCUCAAAACUACACUCGUCGCGACGACGAACGACGAUAAGUAUUACCGUCCGUCGGGUAGGUACGGUCCGGCCGACGGACGUAAACCGUAACGAAACGGAAAGUUAGUACGGUCGUGAGACGUUGUCGAACGGACGACGACGACGGGAGGAGG
rnacentral:rRNA from 1 species